UACGUAGGGUGCGAGCGUUGUCCGGAAUCAUUGGGCGUAAAGCGCGCGUAGGUGGCUUCGUAAGUCCGUUGUGAAAGUCAAAGGCUCAACCUUUGAAUGCCGAUGGAUACUGCGGAGCUAGAGUACGGAAGAGGCGAGUGGAAUUCCUGGUGUAGCGGUGGAAUGCGCAGAUAUCAGGAGGAACACCAAUGGCGAAGGCAGCUCGCUGGGACGGUACUGACGCUGAGACGCGAAAGCGUGGGGAGCAAACAGG
rnacentral:rRNA from 1 species